UGCUGCGAAAGCGUCUGCCAAGGAKGUUUUCAUUGAUCAAGAACGAAAGUAAGGGGAUMGAAGACGAUCAGAUACMGUCGUAGUCUUUACUAUAAACGAUGAGGAWUGGGGAUCKGGCGAGGAAUUACGAUGACCCGCCCGWCACCYUYCGAGAAAUCAAAGUGUUUGCUUUCUGGGGGGAGUAUGGUCGCAAKGCUGAAACUUAAAGGAAUUGACGGAAGGGCAUCACCGGGUGUGGAGCYUGCGGCUUAAUUUGACUCAACACGGGAAAACUUMCCAGGUCAGGACAUAGUGAGGAUUGACAGAUUGAGAGCUCUUUCUUGAUUCUAUGGUUGGUGGUGCAUGWCCGUUCUUAGUUGGUGGAGUGAUUUGUCUGGUUAAUUCCGUUNACGAGCGAGACCUGGGCGUGCUAACUAGGGGCUAUUAUCAUUUUGGUAGUACGUUCCCCUUCUUAGACGGACUGUGGGCGUCUAGCCCACGGAAGCUCCAGGCAAUAACAGGUCUGAGAUGCCCUUAGAUGUUCUGGGCCGCACGCGUGCUACACUGAGNGGAUCAWCGGGUCAGGUSRYGCGAGAGCRUKUCCYAAUCUUCAAAUCCGCUCGUGAUGGGGAUSGACGGUUGCAAUUYUCCGUCAUGAACGAGGAAUACCUKGUAAGCGCGG
rnacentral:rRNA from 1 species